UUUUUGGUUUCUAUUCCUUUUUUUGUUUUCACUUAGUUUCACUUGAUUUCAUAGUGAAAUUGUUCUACCAUUGCAGAUACGACAAAAGGAAUGAGCUUAGCUGGUCAGAAUCACUUUCACCUUUCUGCAUGGGAAAUGUUUGAAGAUGUGUUAUUCUGUGUAGAAAAGAUUGGCAAUACCUGAUAGCAAUGAUCUUCCGGAUGUUUUUCUCUUUGCAAGAUGGAGCUACAGAAAUAUACUUUACAGCUGCAGAAAAACAUAAACAGGUAUUCUGCUGACACCUAUGUUGCAUGGCGCAAGCUUGUACAUGCCUCCAGUAACGUGCUGUGGGAAAUGGUCCUUCUCCACAUAUGUCUAAACUCAAUGUCUUUUAAGUCAGCAAAGGCCUUCUGCUGAUUAUACCCAGCUAACGGACCCAAAACAAGCCUGCUGCUCAAGGACAAACGAAAGCAAGACAACAGGUGUGAUACAAAGCAGGAAGGAUGGUCAAGUUAUGCAUUGCUCCUGCUAGUUACCGCCCUAACUUGGGGCUCAUGGAUGCUAAUUGGCUCUGGACAGUGACAGUGACUGGACAUGGGGAUCACUGGGGUAUAAAAGGCGGCGAGUUCAGCAGGUGAAAAGGGGCAGCCUGCCCAGACACUUCUUGUGUGGGACAUUCCCCCGCUGUUCCUCGGACUUGCCUGGCGCCCGGACUCUGCCUGCCUGCUACCCUGCCUGCCUGCCCCGGGGAUCGACCCCGAGCCGUACCG